ensembl:misc_RNA Telomerase-vert Vertebrate telomerase RNA
CAGUCUAUGGGUGUCCCCCUUCUAACCUUAAUUCGAGUCUUACCUCCUGUACGUUACGCAUGCUGUUUUUUCCCCUCUGGCUUUUCAGCUGGCUACAGGAGGAUUUGAGCGCGAUGCUGGAAAACAUCCGAACAAAAAAAGCCAGAAAUGACACCCCGUCGCCCUCAGCUCCCCGAAACGCGGACAGCUCGGCUGCCGCUAAGAGUUCGUCUCUGUGGUUUCGGGGAUUCUCUGCUGAGCAGAUUAAAAGUGAGCAAGGUGAUUCGGCCGAACCUUUUGUGGUCCGGUUCGGUAGCCUACGCUCAGACAAAC